CCAGACUCCUACGGGAGGCAGCAGUGAGGAAUAUUGGUCAAUGGACGAGAGUCUGAACCAGCCAAGUAGCGUGCAGGAUGACGGCCCUAUGGGUUGUAAACUGCUUUUAUAAGGGAAUAAAGUGAGUCUCGUGAGACUUUUUGCAUGUACCUUAUGAAUAAGGACCGGCUAAUUCCGUGC
rnacentral:rRNA from 1 species